rnacentral:lncRNA from 1 species
GGCAAACUUUUAUUCAGCUGUUUAAAACUUAUCUGACUUGACUCUGUGGACUAAAGUAAGUUGGCAUAAAUUCAUUAUAGAGAGUUUGCCAUGUGCACAUCAACCUAAAGACCAGCGUCGCCGCCGACCACCAUCCAUCUUCUUCUUCCUCGCACGCCGCUAGCAACCCUGCCGCCUCAACCAUGCGCCACCAUCUUCCUCUUAUCUUAGGCUAAUUACCAUGAACCUAGAAUUGUAUCAGACCACCACGAAUCAGAAAUCACGAACUCCAUCAACACCGCAAGCGUUGCUGCGACAGAUCUUCAAUGACUAAGUAGCGAGAAUCCACGGCUAGGCCACCACCUACACACACAGAAAACCAACCCAAGAAACCCAGAAUCAAACCCAGUUCGUCAUCACCAUCGCGCAACCAUCAAUCUCGAACCUACGGAAGACAGAACCCAGAAGCACAAGCCAACCCCAAUCGCAGAUCGCGUCUUCUGCACAGAACCGUGAAGCUACCUUGGCUUAUCUUCUCCGAAACACAAUGCGAGGAUCAAUAGUCUUCAUCGCACCACCUUCAUCGUCUCCAACAACAAGGAAGAAGCGCAGGCAGCAGCGGAAUCUAAAGAGCGGUGCAGUCGCAAGGGAGAACCGCGAGCAACGCCUCCAGACAGCGAAACUUCUCUUCCAUUCUCACGGCGCAGACAGAGGCAAAAUGUAUCCUCCCAAAUCCCUCUACCCC